UCCCAGUCCCAGCGACGCUCCCCGCCACAAACCCCCGCCACCUGCUCGGCCGCUCCCCGCUGCCACACCCGCACGCGUCCGUCGCCAUGGCCGGCGCCCCGCGCAGGUCCGACGUCGACUUCGCCGACGUCUUCGGCGGCCCGCCCCGCCGCUCGUCGGGGAGCGACCGCGGGCGCCGCUCCUCGCUCGACUCGCCCUCCGGCUCCGGCGCCGCGUCCAGGGCGCGGAGCGGGGCCGAGGAGAGGCCCGCCUUCGGGGACCGCACCAGCUCCGGCUUCGCGUCGAGGGAGCGGCGGAGCGGCGGCGAGAGCGGGCCCGGGGAGAGGCCCGUCUUCGGGGACCGCACCAGCUCCGAGCGGAGGCAGCUCGGCCAGGAGUUCUACAAGGAUAUCUUCCCGGGGGCCGAGCCGCCGGCGUCGCCCAGGCCGGGCGGCGCCUCCGGCGAUCGGGACGUGUUCGGCGCGCCCACGUCGCCCGGCGGGUCCACCAGCCGCCUGCUGUCGCGGUCCAGCUUCUCCAUGAAGUUCACCAGAGGUGUGGACAGUUCAGUGCCUACUUCUCCAUCCCGGCAUAUAUCCAGCAGAAAUGAUGAUGACACAUCUUAUGGUUACAGUGUUCCAGCUUCACCGAAUUCAUCCACGAAUAGUUCUCUUGCCCAGGGGGUAUCCCAGCAAGAUUCGAAGAAGAAUCCCUUUUCGUGGCAUCGAUAUCCCUUCCUAUCCCGGUUCCGUUCAAGUGGAGAUAAGAAGGACACCUCUCAACAUGUUAACUCUAUGGACAGUGAAUGUGAAGGGACUCCUAUUAGCUCAGCAAGCUUCAUCAGCAGUGACAAGUUCCAUUUUUCAUUCUAUAAGUGGGCAGGGAAAGGAGCUUUGUUGAUGUUGCCAGCUAGUGUGCAAGAAAAAGAUGGAAAUAUUAUUGGGGUUAGAAGCUUCCCUCAAGUAGUUGUGCAAGGCAUUGACCUAAUUGAUGAGGAAGAAAGCAUGUCAACCGCCACGCCUGCAUCAAAAAGUCAGACCGACUAUGAAGAUUACAAACCUGGGAAGGAUGGCUUCUUUGAAAGAAAACACAGUAUAAACUCAACAACCAAGGAGGAAUCUUCAGUGUUUGAUGAGUACCUGCAGGGUGAUAAAUCCAAAGAAGCAGGAACAAAGAAGAGUAUCAAUAAUGCAAAGAGCAAUGUAUCAGCAGGGAGCCCCAGAACUCAAAGUUCACGUCCACCUUCAGGAGAGAAAAGUCGUGGUAGCAGAGUGCUAAAAGAUUUCAUCAAAAUCUUCAGUCCUGAGGUUUCACCAAAGCGAAAAGUGGCAGUUGAGGCUCAAGAUCAGUCCAGUGGAAAAAGUGGAAGCAAAGGUGGAGUUGAAGAUAAAUUUAGCAUCUCGGAUUUGGAGACUGGUGAGGAUAUUAAGACGGAUAAAACAAACAAUCAGAAUGCAUUUUCCCCUGCGGCUGCUCAAAUGAGAGACGUACAAGGUGGGAUGGAGAAACCCGUCCUUACAGUCGAUGAUGAAAUGCUCACAAGAACAGGCAAACUCUCUGGAAAGGAAGAUGUUAAACCUCCAUCUUCUGAUAAGUCGUUCCAUGUUGAAACAGAGGAAAAGGUGCGUGACACAACAAGUCGUGAGGAAAGUCACAUGGAAAAUCUUGAAGAAUGUGUGGUUGAGCAUUUGGAUGAAGAUCAGAUUCUUCAGGAUGACAAUGAAAAGGAACAAAUAAAGAUAUCUCAAUCCAAAAUCCGGGAGUGGUCAAAGGGAAAAGAAGGAAAUAUUCGGUCAUUGCUUUCUACACUGCAAUAUGUUCUCUGGCCUGAGAGUGGAUGGAAACCAGUUCCAUUGGUUAACAUAAUUGAAGGAGCAGCGGUUAAGAAAGCUUAUCAGAAGGCGUUGUUAUGUCUUCAUCCAGAUAAGUUGCAACAGCGAGGAGCUGCCAUGCAUCAAAAGUAUAUAGCAGAAAAGGUUUUUGAGAUUCUACAGGUAGCAUGGAUUAUCCCAAAUGCCUUCAUGUAAAAGUAAAAUAAAUAACGUUAUGGAUUGACUAGAAGUUCACAACAAAUGGCUAAGUUACUUCAGGGAGGCAUGGAAGGAAUUCAAUUCAGUCACUUUUGGAUAGUCUUUCGUAGCUUCUUUUGUUCAGCAUGUCUACACUAUUUGCGAUGGUGCCAAAAUGGACGUAAAUAAUCUUAUCUACGAUAAUGUGUAGACAUGGCACAAGGACAUCUUUUAAGCUGGCAAACUGCGCCUUUUGAACUUGUUUUGGUGUAAAUGCAAGUGUGAAUCUGGAGAACCGACCAAUGCUGCCCUUUGCCAAAAAAAAGACUUUAGAGGUUAAACUGUGUUUGGUUCUGGUGUAUUUUGAUGAUUGAAAUUCUCCAUAUGCUAUGCCUAUGUACCUGAAGCCUGGUCCUUGCUUGA